UUAUUAAUGUCCCCCUUCUCGUCAAAUUGAGCUUGAUGUAACUGUAAUGGUACUCAAUAACUCAACAUUGUUUCAGUUGGGUUGAAGUCCAUGCAUUUUUGUGAGAGUCGGUGUAAUCUUGACCUAAAUUGCUUUAUGAACUGCAAACAAUUAACAUGUUUGUAUCUCAGAAAUUAUUCAACGCCUGCUGAAAGAUUGACUUUGGAAAAGCUUCUUAUUAGCUUGACUACACUUGAGGUACUUGCGUUGUGGUUACUUGAACUUGAGCUUUCGAGUGCAGGUGCAGGUCAAAAGGGUUUUCCUUUUACGCUCAACUGCUUGUAUCAUCUACAUUUAGGUGUAAACUGCAUUCAAAUCGGCCAGACUUAUUAUGCAUUACCAAUUUGAGUAGACUUGAAAUUUGGGUCUAUAAUUCCUCUGAUACUGUUGAAGCAGUUUUGAAAUGUAUGGACACACCAACUUUCUUGAACCAACCGCUCAACAAGCUCGAAGAUGUUACUAUGCAUUAUUUUAGGGGUUCAAAGACUGAAUUGUUUUUUGUUAAGCUAUUGCUAGCUCGUACUCCAUCUUUGGUAAGGAUGAAUACGGACCCGGUUGGUUCUUUGGAAGAUUGGAAUAUUGCCAUUGAAUUGAUGCGGUUCCCUAGAGCAUCUCCCAAGGCAGAGCUAUUCUAUUUGAAAAAAUAGAUAAGAAUUUAUAAGCCGCGGAUUGAUUUGUGAUUCAAGUCUACAAAGGCAGGAUGCUAUAUGUUUUCAGUGUGUUCUCUUAAUUACUUUGAUAAACUUGUUCUUAAAUAUAUGUUUUGAAAGUUCAGUCUUAA